CUUCACUGCAUGGAGGAAGACAGUGUUGGUAGGAAGCACACAGUUUUUGACCGUAUCGUAUGGUAUCAUCUCAUAAUUGAAGGUAACAGAGAAGUGUGCUUUUAGAUAAAGGAAAGCGAUUGAGUAAUGAUGUUGAUUGGAAGUUGAUUGGACAAUAAAUAUGUUUUUAUUUGCAUCUAUUUGCUUACGAACUCUGACUUUUUACGCGUUAAAAACUUGCUCACUCUACCAACAAUAGCGGCAUUGGUAAGCCGCUACAAAAAAAGUCAAAAACUUUGCUUCGUGGGACAAUUGAGACGCCGCUGGAGUGGACAGCAAGGCAUGGUGUUUCUACAGACAAGGACAGCGACGUUCGUUUGGAUCAAGGCUUCAUUUGCUGCACGUGAGGACAGCGUUUCUUCAGCAUCUGAGUGAGUUCGUUUGGAUCGGCUUUCUUCUGGUUUCCUGCAUUAAGGUGAAUCUACGCUGCGUUCAUCUCUUCGCGUUUGAUAAACAGCACAAUAGUGGUGCAGAUCAGAUCCUGUUUCAUAAUGGACGACAAACAAAUAUCCAGAGAUGAAAAUGUUUCUCCAGGAUGCAGUUUAGUUCAUCAGAAGAGAUCAGAUCCAGAGCCCAGCUGUGUGUCUAUGAGGAGUGACUGGUCUAUGGAUCAUCCAAAUAAUUUUGGAAGUGAAAAUACACAGAUUGAUCUCAGUUCAUUUCAUCACAAGAGAACAGAAGCAGAGGCCAGCCGUGUGUCUAUGAGGAGUGACACGUUUAUGAAUCAUCCAAUAAAUAUUUGGAAAGUAGAAGCACAGUGUAAUAUCAGACAAAACUUGCUGAACACAUUUAGAUCAAAUCUGCUGAAGAAGUUUGAGUGUCUGUAUGAGGGAACAGCGGCGCAGGGAAACCCAACACUCCUGAAUGAGAUCUACACAGAGCUCUACAUCACAGAGAGUGAGAGUGGAGAGAUCAGUCAUGAGCAUGAGGUGAGACAGAUUGAGACACAAUCCAGGAGAUCAACAACAGAGGACACAGCGAUCAAAUGCAGAGACAUCUUUACACCUUUACCUGGACAAGACAAAGCCAUCAGAACUGUGCUGACGAAGGGAGUCGCUGGCAUCGGAAAAACAGUCUCUGUGCAGAAGUUCAUCCUGGACUGGGCUGAAGAGAAGGAGAAUCAGGACGUCCAGCUCAUAUUUCCACUUCCUUUCAGAGAGAUCAAUCUGAUGAAGGACAAAACACUCAGUCUGUCAGAUCUUCUUCAGCUCUUUUUCCCUCAAACUAAAGAAAUGGAAAUAUCCAGUGACAAAUAUAAAGUGCUGUUCAUCUUUGAUGGUCUGGACGAGUGUCGUCUUCCCUUAAAUUUCAAAAGGAUUAAGACUCUGAGGGAUGUGACCAAAACAUCAUCAGUGGACGUGCUGCUGAUGAACCUGAUUGUGGGGAAUCUGCUUCCCUCUGCUCUCAUCUGGAUCACCUCCAGACCAGCAGCAGCAGAUCUCGUCCCCUCUGAGUGUGUCCAUCGAGUGACAGAGGUACGAGGCUUCAAUGACUCUCAGAAGGAGGAAUACUUCAGCAAGAGAAUCAGUGAUCAGAGUCUGGCCAAUACAAUCAUCUCACACCUGAAGUCCUCCAGGAGCCUCUACAUCAUGUGCCACAUCCCUGUGUUCUGCUGGAUCUCAGCCACUGUUCUAGAGAAGAUGUUGAGUGAAGCAGAGACUGCAGAGAUUCCCAAGACUCUCACUCAGAUGUACACACACUUCCUGAUCCUGCAGACCAACAUCAAACAUCAGAAGGACUAUGAGAAGAAGCUGACAGAUGAAGACAUGAUCCUCAAACUGGGGAAAGUGGCUUUUCAGCAGCUCAUGAAAGGCAAUAUAAUCUUCUAUGAGGAAGACCUGAGAGAGUGUGGCAUUGAUGUGGCAGAAGCUUCAGUUUACUCAGGAUUGUGCACUCAGAUCUUCAGAGAGGAGUUUGGCUUGUAUCAGGGGAAAGUCUUCAGCUUUGUUCAUCUGAGCAUUCAGGAACAUCUAGCAGCUCUAUAUGUGCACCUCUCCUGUAUAAACAAUAACAGAGAUGAGUUUGAGCAAAUCAACAAACCGAGUUUGUGGUCUCAAGUUAAAGACUUGUUUCAGCUCAAUUCUUUAGAAUGUGUUUCAUUAUCCAAACUGAAUCAGCGAGCUGUAAAUGAGGCUCUAAAGAGUCAAAAUGGACAUCUGGAUCUUUUCCUGCGGUUUCUUCUGGGUCUGUCAGUGGAGUCUCAUCAGAUUCUCCUAAAAGGACUAAUGACACUGAAAAGCAGAUCAAUCCAGAAUAAUAAAACAGUCGAGUACAUCAAGAAGAAGAUCAGGACCAUCGACUCUCCAGAGAAAUCCAUCAAUCUGUUUCACUGUCUGAAUGAACUGGGUGAUCAUUCACUAGUGGAGGAAAUACAGCAGUUUCUAAAAUCUGGAAGAAUAAACAGAGCCAAACUCUCCUCAUCUCAGUGGUCAGCUGUAGCGUUUGUGUUGUUGACAUCAGAGAAGAAGCUGGAGGAGUUUGAUAUUAAUGAAUUUGUUGCUGAAAACAAUAAAACUGAAAAACAGCUCAUUUUUAAGAAGCUGCUGCCCGUGAUUAGAGAAUGCAGAUCAGUUCAGUUGUAUGAUUGUGGUCUCACAGAUGAAGGUUGUGCUGCUUUGGCUUCAGCUCUAAAAUCAAACCCUGAACACCUAAAAGAUCUGAAUCUGUCUAGGAAUAGACUAAGAGAUUCAGUGACUCUUCUCUCUGCUGUACUGGAGGAUCCUCACUGUAAACUGGAGAAACUGGGGUUGAAUAAGUGUGGUCUCACAGGAAAAGGUUGUGCUGCUUUGAUUUCAGCUCUGAGAACUGAAUCUGUCCUGGAGCAAUCUAGGAUAUUCAGUGACUCUUCUCUCUGCUGUACUGGAGGAUCCUCGCUGUAAACUGGAGAAACUGGAGUUGUAUGAUUGUGGUCUUACAGAUAAAGGUUGUGCUGCUUUGGCUUCAGCUCUGAGAUCAAACCCUGAACACCUGAGAAAUCUGAAUCUGUCCUGGAAUAAUCUAGGAGAUUCAGUGACUCUUCUCUCUGCUGUACUGAAGGAUCCUCGCUGUAAACUGGAAACACUGCGGUUGAGUUAUUGUGGUCUUACAGAUGAAGAUUGUGCUGCUUUGGCUUCAGCUCUGAGAUCAAACAUUGAACACCUGAGAGAUCUGAAUCUGUCUGGGAAUUAUCUAAAAAAGUCAGUGACUCUUCUCUCUGCUGUACUGGAGGAUCCUCGCUGUAAACUGGAGACACUGAGGUUGGGUGAUUGUGGUCUCACAGAUAAAGGUUGUGCUGCUUUGGCUUCAGCUCUGAGAUCAAACCCUGAACACCUGAAACAUCUGGAUCUGUCUGACAAUCUACAAAUAAUAUCCUCAUGGAAGCUGUUCUCUGAUCUGAUGGACGACCCACUGAAUAAACUGGAAUUUUGUGAUUUUCAGUGUUCAGGAUUUCCUGGUUAUGAAUAAGGAGAAACGUCACAGACACACAAUCAACACACACUGAAGACACACAGACUCGCACUGACUUCACAACACUGGCUUAUUUUCAUAUGCAAUAACCAGGAAAAGGAAAAUGACGUCAUUAUAUUGUUCAGAUCGUCCAGAUAUUGAUUAUAGUGGAAAAUGGGAUUUUAAAAUAACAAAACUAAAGCACUUCUAUUGUAAUCAGUCAGUCAUGUUGACAUUGUGUAAAUAUGAAAUGUGUCGUGCAGCACAGACAGCUUUGUUCCUUAUAUUGGAAAAGUAAGAUUCUUUUGUUUAAUUACUCUUUUAGUAUAAUCUUGGUUUUACAAGGUUUACUCUGAGAAAAUCAAGACUUUGGCUACAGAAGAGAUGUUGUGUCUGAAAUGUGUCAGCAGAGGUCGACAAAGUGAAAGUAAUUCAUUUAACUGAGCAUUUAAUUCACUACAAUGUUUGUAAAUGAAUGAUGUGUAAUUAUUUAACUGAUUUAACACGCUCAUCUAUUAAUAUUCCCACUUCACUUUUCUUGAUGACAAACAUUUCUGAUGCCCACAACAAAACUCAUCUGAAUCAGCCACUCUUGAAGACUUCUUAAAUAUCAUAUUAACAUAUUUAGUAAAGAUGAGCUGAUUGAGGGGUCAGAUAAUACUGAUGCUACAAAAAGAUAUGCUCAGUGUUUUGACUAAACACUGUUUAUUACUGAGAGGGUUCUUUAGUUCUUAUAGUAAAUGUUUAUGGUGUCAUACUUUUCAUGUCAGUGUCAAAGACAUCAUAAUAGGAGCAGUUUGAUGUGUCCAUGUUUGUAUGAUUUUUGUAUGUUUGAAUUAUUUAUAUGCAUGUUUGUAUAGAGAUAAUACACGUUUUGUCAAAAACCUUAUGCCCCUGAAAAGACUUUUAUAAAUACCCAAAUAAACACAUUCAGCUCGU